CCUACGGGAGGCAGCAGUGGGGAAUUUUGGACAAUGGGCGCAAGCCUGAUCCAGCAAUGCCGCGUGAGGGAAGAAGGCCUUCGGGUUGUAAAGCUCUUUCAGUUGAGAAGAAAAGAUUGUGACUAAUAAUUGCAAUUCAUGACGGUAUCAACAGAAGAAGCACCGGCUAACUACGUGCCAGCAGCCGCGGUAAU
rnacentral:rRNA from 1 species